CAUCAGACAGUGCUGUCCUUUCCCCGCUGCGCUGAGAAGAUGCCUGCCCGAGGGAACAGACGGAGGGCUUGAAAAUGGGGUCACUCGGGCCUCGGAGGGACAGCCCAGGAGCAGGGACCGACUGUGUAUCCCACGUGGGCAGCAGGAUGCUACCCUUCCGAGCACCUGCCUGUUGUCCCUCUGCCUGCAAGCCAGUCCUUCCCCACAUAGGUCCCCAUAGGUCCUCAGGACAGAGUGUCUGAAGACCAUGUUGCCCUGUGUUGACAAGGCUGGUCCCUCCUUCUGUGUCCUGGGAACAGAUAUCUGGGACAGUACUGGUGUCGUUCACUCUGUGUUCGCUCCCCUUGUGGGGAUCCUGCUCCUGACGGGAGACGGAAAGUCAAUGGGCAAGAUUACAGAAGUGCUUGUCUGUCAAGCUUUAGGGUAACCUCAUGGGGCUCCCCUCUCCCUCCAGUUGUCCCUCUGUGACCCCAAAGGCAGAGGAGGAGCGUUGACGGCCCCCAGGUGUCAGAUAUGGAUGGGGCAAGCCAAUAGUCCCAGCACCUUGGAACUUGAGUGCUUUUGGGGUCGAAAGCUCAUUUCUCCUAACCCCAGCCUCUAGCCAGCUGUGUUCAAGGACAAACACCCUACCCCAAGAUGAAGGAACAGGCCUCUGUUACUGACCUCCAACCCGACAGGGCAUGCCCAAGCACCCCUUUCUGUUCCUUGCACCUGACCCUCAUGAAAGCCAGGGCACCUCACUGCAGGCUGAGCCUCUGAGGAGCAGCACAGGACUUUAGGUUUCUCAGUGUCUCCAUUGUUUGGCUUUGCCAAAGGAAUGGAUGCUUCUGCUCUGUUUUCAGGCCAUGAGGGGUUUGCGAGUCCUCUCACCCAGACAGAUUGGACAUCUCAAGGCAUGGGGAAUACUGGAUGUCUUGGUAUGAGCCCAAGCCAGUGUUGCCUGUGUCUGGGGAACACCACUGGUCCAUGGAGAUGCUAGGACACAAGGCAGCCACAGCCCUUUCCUGCAUGGCCGUCUGACAGCCCCUUCACAGAGGGAUUUGCAGCCACAGAGCUCUUGGCCAGGGCCUUUUCGUCUUAGGAAAUGUCGGGUUUUGUGCUUAUUUUUAGCUUCAGGAAUGUGACGUUUGAUAGUAUUUGGGUUUUCAAGAGGGACCAGCUUUAAGAUAGACUUGUGUCCCUUGACCCCAUGCCAGCCCUGGAACGUUCAUGACUAAAGGCAAGAGUGGCAGUCCCCCGACUGGAAAAUACAAGCAAUCCCCAUCUAUCCCUGACAAGAAGCAGUGCGGGAGCCCCACGUCUCUGGCCAGGAGAAGCUGGAUUCCGCUUCCCAACAAGCAAUGCUCCAGGCUGCUUCUGUGACUGUCUCCCCACCCUGGGGAGCUGCGGCUGCAUGCCUACAGACUGGUAGCUUCCUGUUGGGCCCGGGGAAGGUGGAACCUAGAUGGAAAAUAAAACUGUGGAAGAGGGCUAUUCAAGAAGAGGGGGUUUCUGGGAGAAGCGGGGCAAGAGUGAGUGAAAGGAUGUUUUGCUGAAGCAGACACAGGUGAAAGGAUGUUUUGCUAUAGAAGAUAUAUGAGAGGACAUAUGAUGCUUCGAAGGGAUAUAAAUAUGACUCCACAGACAGUGGGAGCUCACACACUGGUUUGCUUUGCCCUGCCUCCGUAGUCUUCGACACGCAUGUAUUGGUUUGCCUUACACUGGGUUGCCGAGCUCUGCUUCGGGUGACACCACUAAGAGAAACUCAUCAAAGAACUUCUUUGGAGAUACCUGUGGUUUCUUGCUGCUUCUGCAAAUCCGGGCCAGUUGGUGGGCCUCUCGGUUUCUUCUGGAUUGAACUGUCCCUGAAGAUUCCUGUAUAGUGUCCGCCGAGUGGACUGGACUGCAGCUGCUGAUUCGUGUUUGGUGUUUGCUAGUGGACCGGACUGAGAACAGCGAAGGUUGGAAUCAUCCCCAAAGAACUAUUUCUAAACAGGCCUGCUUCCCUCAUAUUCUAAUAGCCUUUCUUUUCCAUUACCUCUGGUGGGUGGUGGACUAGAGUGGAGGUUGAACCUUAUUAAAGUAGGUUGUGAAAAAUAUAUGUCUACAGGGAAAUGAUGCAAUUAUGUUCUAAUCCCAACA